rnacentral:rRNA from 1 species
UACGGAGGGGGCUAGCGUUGUUCGGAAUUACUGGGCGUAAAGCGCACGUAGGCGGCUUUGUAAGUUAGAGGUGAAAGCCCGGAGCUCAACUCCGGAACUGCCUUUAAGACUGCAUCGCUUGAAUCAUGGAGAGGUCAGUGGAAUUCCGAGUGUAGAGGUGAAAUUCGUAGAUAUUCGGAAGAACACCAGUGGCGAAGGCGACUGACUGGACAUGUAUUGACGCUGAGGUGGCGAAAA